rnacentral:rRNA from 1 species
AGAGUUUGAUCCUGGCUCAGAGCGAACGCUGGCGGCAGGCUUAACACAUGCAAGUCGAGCGGGCAUAGCAAUAUGUCAGCGGCAGACGGGUGAGUAACGCGUGGGAACGUACCUUUUGGUUCGGAACAACACAGGGAAACUUGUGCUAAUACCGGAUAAGCCCUUACGGGGAAAGAUUUAUCGCCGAAAGAUCGGCCCGCGUCUGAUUAGCUAGUUGGUGAGGUAAUGGCUCACCAAGGCGACGAUCAGUAGCUGGUCUGAGAGGAUGAUCAGCCACAUUGGGACUGAGACACGGCCCAAACUCCUACGGGAGGCAGCAGUGGGGAAUAUUGGACAAUGGGCGCAAGCCUGAUCCAGCCAUGCCGCGUGAGUGAUGAAGGCCCUAGGGUUGUAAAGCUCUUUGUGCGGGAAGAUAAUGACGGUACCGCAAGAAUAAGCCCCGGCUAACUUCGU